UUACCUCUUAUUUAUGUGCAUUUCUGGUAUUUAUUUGGUGUAAUCUUUUAUUCCCUCAUACAUAAUCAUUUAUCAAGGGAAAAAUGUUCAAGGUAUGGAAAUUGUCCACGUUUUUCAGCUCCAGUUAUCCACAUUUUAGUCAAAUUUUCAUUGGUACCACUGUUUUGGGAUUUUUGUCAAGUUUUUGUGUUCCAACUUUUAUGUUAAUAUAUUGAAUUGUAAAAGUGAUUAAUCUCUAAACCUUAUAAAUGCUUUCCAAUUUGCUUUACCAGUGCUUAUUCUAGUGUCUCAAGCCAUCCAAAAGUUAAGAUUUUUUUCUUUCAAAUUCGUCAACCAGUCUUUUUUUUCAUUUCAAUUUCUUGGAAAGAGAAGGCAUUUUCAUCAAACGAAUCAUUACAGGAUUCCUGUGAAUUCUUGGGGAUCAAUAAUGAAAAAAUAAUGACUUCCAAAGUUGUUUAACCACCAAAUGUGCUCUGUGAUUACAAUCAAAUCGUACAGCAACUAUUUUUUGGAUUUUCACUCUUAUUUUUUGAGCAUUGAAACGAACCAAAAUGCUUUUACAUUAACUUUGAAUUGGAAGGAUUGAGCAAAUUUCCAGGAAAGGUUAAUUAACACUCAUCAAGAUAUAAAUCUUUCAUCAGUUGACGAUUAACGAGAAAUUGAAUGGACAAAUGAGCUUCAUUUCAAGAAAUACAAUGAUUCCAUCUGACAGAGUAAAUUAAAUCUAUAUCUCGAGAUAUAAUGUACUACAAGUUUUGAUUGAUUCAAUUACAUCAGAUGUCAAUUUUCAUAUGAUGUUCAACAAAUUCAUAAAGAGCUGUAUUAUUGUCUGGAAAAUUUGCAUAUUGUCAAACAAUUGUGUUGAAAUACGAAUAAUACCAGAUCUAGAAUAUUACAAAGCUUGAAGGGAAAUUUAAUGAUAUUGCUGAUGACAAUGACAGCUAUAAACUACCAUCAUGUUAAUUUCAUUGUAAGCAACUGAUGAACUCAUGGAACCCCCAGGUUUUUCCAUAAUUAUCGUUGGGAAACAAUUUAUCUUCAUGCAAAUUGAUUGGUAUCGGCCAUUCUUUCAUUAUUUCACAUAAUCGAGUUCAAAGGCAAAGCAAAUAUGUGAUGAACCAAGCCAACUAUUCAUCUUUAUUAUCCAAUCGAUUACCGUAUCUGGUCUUUAACCUCUGUGAAAAAAAGUUCAAGUUGGCCAUUGCGUUGAAUGGAUGUAAACAAGAACAAGCAAUUUACCAAGAAAUCUAAGCCAAUUUUAAACGUGGAUCCAGUGAAUCAACUACAAGAAGGAUUACAUGAAACCUUAUGACCCAACAAAAAGCCGUUGCCAAUAGCAAGAAAGGAUAUUAGGGUCAACAAAGUCCAUUUGACCUUAUAGUUGGCAAGAAAAAAAUGAUGAGAUUUUUAUUUGCAACAUGAAAAGUAUCAAUAGCUGAGCAGGAAAAAAAACAGCAAAAUAAAAACUUGCCUACCAAUAGUUAUUACUAGCAACUGAUUAGUUGAUAAUACUUACUAAUAAUCAGUAACACCAUAAUCAUGUGUAAAAACAGUAAGAUCGAGAAACAACAUUAUGUCCUUUUCAAACCUAACCUGAUUGAACAUUGUGUAUUAGUUGUUUUUUUGAUUACAACUCUAAGGGCAGAGAAAAUGAUUCAAUAUAAUGAUGAUGAUUAUGAUAAUAAUAAUGGUCAAUUUAAUAAUAUAAACUCUUAUUUGUAGCUAAUAACGAUCAAUAAUAGAUAGAGUGUCCAAUCAUUUGAAACACUGAUUCUCUAGACGCUUUUUCAACCACAUCUUGAUCUUCAUCUUGAUUAUCAUUAUACUCAUCAUACUCUUCAUCCUCUUCAUCAUCUUUAUCAUCUCCCACGAUAAAACUAAACGUUGAAAGCAACUUAAUGGUCACCAUUAGACAAAAUAUCUGGUAACAAUCGUAGCUACUUUUUUCAAGUUACUGUCAACUGAAGCGUUCAACUUUUAUCUUCAUCUUCUAUUCAUUUUUCAUCUUCAUUGAACUUGGCUUCUUCCCAAAAGCAAACAGCAACAAUAAUAUUAUCAUCAUCAUUCCAAAGUCUCUUCAAAUCUUUUCAAGUCGAUUAGCAUCAUUCCUUUCGCUCUUUUUUUUUUAUAUUUAUUUAUUUUACUACAAAAUAACUUUUCUUUCCUUUCCAUCUUUUUUUUAAUGUGAUUACUUGAAAAUGAAUAACAUAUUUGCCUUGAUACAUUUACAACUCAUUUAACUAUUAUCAUCAUUAAUCAUCAUCAUUAUCAUCGUCAUCAUGUUCACGCAGAGAUAUUGUCAUUGGAAAACAUUGAAAGAGUUGAACACAACAAAUGGAAACAGUCGGUAAAGUUAAACAAAAUUCAACUUUGCAAAGAUGAACAUUUUAAUAUCACAAAAUAAAUAUUGAAUUAUCAUGUCUUUCAGUUACAAUAUUUGAUAUUGAAAUUUCAUCUUACCAUUUAUCAAUCAUUUGUCUAUUAAUUAUUACACUCAGUUCACAUUGACUCAAGCUUAUAAUGAAAAAAGAAACAAAAUCAAAAGAUGAAAUUAUAUUCAAAAUGAUUCUCAAUUCUACUUCAAUUUCUGAUUGUGAUUACUGAAGCAUAUUUAAUGCUGAUCAUUGGCGGAAGGAAAUUUUCAGGGAAUCUCAGUGAUUAAAAAGAGUCUUUAAUGGAGUCAGCAUUGAAUUACAUCCAUUAUUUAACUAAGAACCUGAAUUUUAAUAUCAAUAAUUACCGAACAAGUAAUCCAUGGUAAAAUUGAUUCAUCUUUGAUCAACUUUCUAUUACUGGUUCUCCUCAUUGUAACAUGAUUUUUCUUGCUUUUUCAUUAUGAAUUUGAGUCUUUGAAAGGUAAACUGAUGGUGACAUUUUGAUCUGGAAUCAUUUUAAUAUCCAACAUUAAAAAGUCAAUAUUUUACUUUCAUAAAUAUCGUCGAUA